UACGGAGGGAGCUAGCGUUGUUCGGAUAUACUGGGCGUAAAGCGCACGUAGGCGGCGCCGCAAGUCAGGGGUGAAAUCCCGGGGCUCAACCCCGGAACUGCCCUUGAAACUGCAGUGCUAGAAUCCUGGAGAGGCGAGUGGAAUUCCGAGUGUAGAGGUGAAAUUCGUAGAUAUUCGGAAGAACACCAGUGGCGAAGGCGACUAACUGGACAUGUAUUGACGCUGAGGUGCGAAAGCGUGGGGAGCAAACAGG
rnacentral:rRNA from 1 species